rnacentral:rRNA from 1 species
AGCAGCAGCCGCGGGAAUACGGAGGGUGCAAGCGUUAUCCGGAUUUAUUGGGUUUAAAGGGUCCGUAGGCGGACUUAUAAGUCAGUGGUGAAAGCCUGUCGCUUAACGAUAGAACUGCCAUUGAUACUGUAAGUCUUGAGUAUAUUUGAGGUAGCUGGAAUAAGUAGUGUAGCGGUAAAAUGCAUAGAUAUUACUUAGAACACCAAUUGCGAAGGCAGGUUACCAAGAUAUAACUGACGCUGAGGGACGAAAGCGUGGGUAGCGAACAGGAUUAGAUACCCGAGUAGUCCCUGUCUCUUAUAC